GGAGAAGGCUAUGUUGGCCGGGCGACGGUUGUCCCGGUUUAAGCGUGUAGGCUGGUUUUCCAGGCAAAUCCGGAAAACCAAGGCUGAGGCGUGAUGACGAGGCACUACGGUGCUGAAGCGACAAAUGCCCUGCUUCCAGGAAAAGCCUCUAAGCAUCAGGUAACAUCAAAUCGUACCCCAAACCGACACAGGUGGUCAGGUAGAGAAUACCAAGGCGCUUGAGAGAACUCGGGUGAAGGAACUAGGCAAAAUGGUGCCGUAACUUCGGGAGAAGGCACGCUGAUAUGUAGGUGAAGCGACUUGCUCGUGGAGCUGAAAUCAGUCGAAGAUACCAGCUGGCUGCAACUGUUUAUUAAAAACACAGCACUGUGCAAACACGAAAGUGGACGUAUACGGUGUGACGCCUGCCCGGUGCCGGAAGGUUAAUUGAUGGGGUUAGCGGUAACGCGAAGCUCUUGAUCGAAGCCCCGGUAAACGGCGGCCGUAACUAUAACGGUCCUAAGGUAGCGAAAUUCCUUGUCGGGUAAGUUCCGACCUGCACGAAUGGCGUAAUGAUGGCCAGGCUGUCUCCACCCGAGACUCAGUGAAAUUGAACUCGCUGUGAAGAUGCAGUGUACCCGCGGCAAGACGGAAAGACCCCGUGAACCUUUACUAUAGCUUGACACUGAACAUUGAGCCUUGAUGUGUAGGAUAGGUGGGAGGCUUUGAAGUGUGGACGCCAGUCUGCAUGGAGCCGACCUUGAAAUACCACCCUUUAAUGUUUGAUGUUCUAACGUUGGCCCGUAAUCCGGGUUGCGGACAGUGUCUGGUGGGUAGUUUGACUGGGGCGGUCUCCUCCUAAAGAGUAACGGAGGAGCACGAAGGUUGGCUAAUCCUGGUCGGACAUCAGGAGGUUAGUGCAAUGGCAUAAGCCAGCUUGACUGCGAGCGUGACGGCGCGAGCAGGUGCGAAAGCAGGUCAUAGUGAUCCGGUGGUUCUGAAUGGAAGGGCCAUCGCUCAACGGAUAAAAGGUACUCCGGGGAUAACAGGCUGAUACCGCCCAAGAGUUCAUAUCGACGGCGGUGUUUGGCACCUCGAUGUCGGCUCAUCACAUCCUGGGGCUGAAGUAGGUCCCAAGGGUAUGGCUGUUCGCCAUUUAAAGUGGUACGCGAGCUGGGUUUAGAACGUCGUGAGACAGUUCGGUCCCUAUCUGCCGUGGGCGCUGGAGAACUGAGGGGGGCUG
rnacentral:rRNA from 1 species